GUGGGAGGGGGCUUGCUCCCGAUGGCAAUGGAUCAGCCAGCUCAUCUGGUACUGAUACACCGCUAUCGGGAGCAAGCCCCCUCCCAC
rnacentral:misc_RNA from 1 species